GCCUGGGUGGCUCAGUCGGUUAAGCAUCUGACUUCAGCUCAGAUCAUGAUCUCGAGGUUCUUGGGUUCGAGCCCCGCAGCGGGCU
rnacentral:tRNA from 1 species